rnacentral:rRNA from 1 species
UGGGGAAUCUUGCACAAUGGGGGAAACCCUGAUGCAGCGACGCCGCGUGAACGAUGAAGCCCUUCGGGGUGUAAAGUUCUUUCGACAGGAACGAUAAUGACGGUACCUGGAGAAGAAGCUGCGGCUAACUACGUGCCAGCAGCCGCGGUAAUACGUAGGCAGCGAGCGUUGUUCGGAGUUACUGGGCGUAAAGAGUGCGUAGGCGGCGAGCCAAGUUUGGUGUGAAAUCUCCCGGCUUAACCGGGAGGGUGCGCCGAAAACUGGUUGGCUGGAGUAUGGGAGAGGAAAGGGGAAUUCCUAGUGUAGAGGUGAAAUUCGUAGAUAUUAGGAAGAACACCAGUGGCGAAGGCGCCUUACUGGCUCGGUACUGACGCUGAGGUACGAAAGCGUGGGGAGCAAACA